CUUGGUCAUUUAGAGGAAGUAAAAGUCGUAACAAGGUUUCCGUAGGUGAACCUGCGGAAGGAUCAUUAGUGAAUCUAGGACGUCCAACUUAACUUGGAGUCCGAACUCUCACUUUCUAACCCUGUGCAUCUGUUAAUUGGAAUAGUAGCUCUUCGGAGUGAACCACCAUUCACUUAUAAAACACAAAGUCUAUGAAUGUAUACAAAUUUAUAACAAAACAAAACUUUCAACAACGGAUCUCUUGGCUCUCGCAUCGAUGAAGAACGCAGCGAAAUGCGAUACGUAAUGUGAAUUGCAGAAUUCAGUGAAUCAUCGAAUCUUUGAACGCACCUUGCGCUCCUUGGUAUUCCGAGGAGCAUGCCUGUUUGAGUGUCAUGAAAUCUUCAACCCACCUCUUUCUUAGUGAAUCUGGUGGUGCUUGGUUUCUGAGCGCUGCUCUGCUUCGGCUUAGCUCGUUCGUAAUGCAUUAGCAUCCGCAACCGAACUUCGGAUUGACUUGGCGUAAUAGACUAUUCGCUGAGGAUUCUAGUUUACUAGAGCCGAGUUGGGUUAAAGGAAGCUCCUAAUCCUAAAGUCUAUUUUUUGAUUAGAUCUCAAAUCAGGUAGGACUACCCGCUGAACUUAAGCAUAUCAAUAAGCGGAGGAAAAGAAACUAACGAGGAUUCCCCUAGUAGCGGCGAGCGAAGCGGGAAGAGCUCAAAUUUAUAAUCUGGCACCUUCGGUGUCCGAGUUGUAAUCUCUAGAAGUGUUUUCCGCGUUGGACCGCACACAAGUCUGUUGGAAUACAGCGGCAUAGUGGUGAAACCCCCGUAUAUGGUGCGGACGCCCAGCGCUUUGUGAUACACUUUCAAUGAGUCGAGUUGUUUGGGAAU
rnacentral:sRNA from 1 species